rnacentral:rRNA from 1 species
GUGAGGAAUUUUCCGCAAUGGGCGCAAGCCUGAUCCAGCCAUGCCGCGUGAGUGAUGAAGGCCUUAGGGUUGUAAAGCUCUUUCGCCCGCGAAGAUAAUGACGGUAGCGGGAGAAGAAGCCCCGGCUAACUUCGUGCCAGCAGCCGCGGUAAUACGAAGGGGGCUAGCGUUGUUCGGAUUUACUGGGCGUAAAGCGCACGUAGGCGGAUCGUUAAGUCGGGGGUGAAAUCCUGGAGCUCAACUCCAGAACUGCCUUCGAUACUGGCGAUCUUGAGUCCGGAAGAGGUGAGUGGAACUCCUAGUGUAGAGGUGGAAUUCGUAGAUAUUAGGAAGAACACCAGUGGCGAAGGCGGCUCACUGGUCCGGUACUGACGCUGAGGUGCGAAAGCGUGGGGAGCAAACAGGAUUAGAUACCCCAGUAGUCC